CGUAGGGUGCGAGCGUUAAUCGGAAUUACUGGGCGUAAAGCGUGCGCAGGCGGUUAUAUAAGACAGAUGUGAAAUCCCCGGGCUCAACCUGGGAACUGCAUUUGUGACUGUAUAGCUAGAGCACGGCAGAGGGGGAUGGAAUUCCGCGUGUAGCAGUGAAAUGCGUAGAUAUGCGGAGGAACACCGAUGGCGAAGGCAAUCCCCUGGGCCUGUACUGACGCUCAUGCACGAAAGCGUGGGGAGCAAACAGGAUUAGAUACCCUGGUAGUCCACGCCCUAAACGAUGUCAACUGGUUGUUGGGUCUUCACUGACUCAGUAACGAAGCUAACGCGUGAAGUUGACCGCCUGGGGAGUACGGCCGCAAGGUUG
rnacentral:rRNA from 1 species